rfam:Equus caballus chromosome 1, whole genome shotgun sequence.
GUGGCUGCCGGAUGGGUGCUCUCUACUAGUGCUGUGCAGAGGCUUUUGCUGAGGCUGCUGUGAGCCUGGAGGGUUUCCCCCAAGGCUAUGGAGCCAG